rnacentral:rRNA from 1 species
GAUGAACGCUGACAGAAUGCUUAACACAUGCAAGUCGAUGGGGAAGUGGUGCUUGCACCAUGGUAACCAUGGCGGACGGGUGAGUAACGCGUAAGGAACUUGCCUGCGGGACUGGGAUAACAGCAGGAAACUGCUGAUAAUACCGGAUAAGGUCAUUAAGCUGCAUAGCUUAGUGAUGAAAGGAGACGCCUGCGGAGAGCCUUGCGUCCUAUUAGCUAGUUGGAGGGGUAACGGCCCACCAAGGCGAAGAUAGGUAGCCGGCCUGAGAGGGUGGACGGCCACAAGGGGACUGAGAUACGGCCCUUACUCCUACGGGAGGCAGCAGUGGGGAAUAUUGGACAAUGGGGGCAACCCUGAUCCAGCAAUUCUGUGUGCACGAAGACGGUUUUCGGAUUGUAAAGUGCUUUCAGCAGGGAAGAGGGAAGUGACGGUACCUGCAGAAGAAGCGACGGCUAAAUACGU